rnacentral:rRNA from 1 species
GACGAACGCUGGCGGCGUGCUUAACACAUGCAAGUCGAACGGAGCGAAUGAAAGCUUGCUUUUAUGAGCUUAGUGGCAAACGGGUGAGUAACACGUAGACAACCUGCCGAUAGGAUGGGGACAACAUUCCGAAAGGAAUGCUAAUACCGAAUGGCGUGUAGGGGAGGCAUCUCCCCUAUAUGAAAGAUGGCCUCUAUAUAUAAGCUAUCACCUAUCGAUGGGUCUGCGUCUGAUUAGCUGGUAGGUAAGGUAACGGCUUACCUAGGCGACGAUCAGUAGCCGGUCUGAGAGGAUGAACGGCCACAUUGGGACUGAGACACGGCCCAGACUCCUACGGGAGGCAGCAGUGGGGAAUCUUCCGCAAUGGGCGCAAGCCUGACGGAGCAACGCCGCGUGAGUGAAGAAGGUCUUCGGAUCGUAAAGCUCUGUUGAAGGGGACGAACGUACAUAGUGCGAAUAGUGCUGUGUAAUGA